GAUGAACGCUAGCUACAGGCUUAACACAUGCAAGUCGCGGGGCAGCAUGGGGGUUGCUUGCAAUCCCCGAUGGCGACCGGCGCACGGGUGAGUAACGCGUAUCCAACCUGCCCUUCACCACGGGAUAACCCGGCGAAAGUCGGACUAAUACCGUAUGUUGUCCAUUGACGGCAUCCGAUUUGUACGAACGGCUUGGCGGUGAGGGAUGGGGAUGCGUCCGAUUAGCCAGACGGCGGGGUAACGGCCCACCGUGGCUACGAUCGGUAGGGGUUCUGAGAGGAAGGUCCCCACACUGGAACUGAGACACGGUCCAGACUCCUACGGGAGGCAGCAGUGAGGAAUAUUGGUCAAUGGGCGUAAGCCUGAACCAGCCAAGUAGCGUGCAGGAUGACGGCCCCAUGGGUUGUAAACUGCUUUUAUGCGGGGAUAAAGUGGCCCACGUGUGGGCUUUUGCAGGUACCGCAUGAAUAAGGACCGGCUAAUUCCGUG
rnacentral:rRNA from 1 species